ensembl:lncRNA
GGGAUGAGGAGGUCAGAGCCGGAGCCUGGAGCAGACUGCCCGAGGGCAGAUGCCUGGUCCCCACCGGUCCUGGGAAAACCACUCCAGACUCUAGAGGUCCGUCAAGGGCUCGGAAUAAGCCCCCGGGUGUGGAACGGCUGUCAUAGUUGCUGCACACAGCUGUCUAGGAGCGGGAAUGAAUUAUAAACAGAACACAUCUUCAGGGCAAAACCCGUGGAGUGUAUUUCCUGCACACCAGCCAGGAAGGAUUUUCAACACAGGCGCCCAGAGGCUGAGAGGCAACCCACUCUACUACUCUCGACCUGAAGGAUUCCACGCACAGAGCAGCCUGGCAGGCACAGUCCAUGGAGUUGCAAAGAGCCGGACACGACUGAGCGGUUUUUUUCAGAGGUGAAUGUAAAGUAAUGGACGUGGCUCAGUAACUGAGCGG